rnacentral:sRNA from 1 species
AUUAGACAUCAAUUAAUUCAACAUAUCUGAUAUUCAGUAUUUUGGGGCAAUAGUCGGACGGACAUUCCAUCGUUCCGACACAGGGCAGCUGUGGAUCCUUACCACCCUCCUUGAUGAGCUCUAUCAUAUGAUCUAUAUCAGGGCCCCAGUGAGGAGAGAGCUCUUCAGCUGCUUUUUCAUCAAAUACACUCAUGAAAUCUUGAUAGAUCUGAGGGAGCUCCUUACACAGUUGCUUAGAGUCUCUUGACUCAAGUUUCUCUAACACUUUUUGAAUAUCUGUCAUACUGACAGUGAACACUUGAACAUUCUUCUUCUUAUGAGCUUGAUGAAUGAGUGUACUAUAGACCACUGCUGAUAUCUGAGUGAGGUCAGUGAUCUUAUUGAUAUCUUUUUCAUAAACUUAAUCUCUGUCAGAAAAGGCAAGGCAGCAGUUGCAGAUAUUCAUCAGAAUACUGAAUUCUAUAAGCUAUAAUAGACUAAGCAUUAGAUUAUACUUGAGAUCUUCUAUCUUAUACAUGUAGACAUUCUUUUUCUCAUGCUUUUCUACAUUGACAUUGAACUUGAUUAUAUUGAAGAAGGCUGAUUCUCUAGAGCUAUUGAAUUCAGUGAGUUUAUACAGUUCAGAGAAGAGAAUAUGCUGAAGCUUAUACUUUUCAACUAGCCAAGUGUUUAUAAGAGUGUAAUGAAGAAAACCACUGUCUAUCAUUGCUUGUAUAUUGACUAAGCUAUUUACAAUGACAG